ACUCCUACGGGAGGCAGCAGUGGGGAAUAUUGCACAAUGGGCGCAAGCCUGAUGCAGCCAUGCCGCGUGUGUGAAGAAGGCCUUCGGGUUGUAAAGCACUUUCAGUCGUGAGGAAGGUAGUGUAGUUAAUAGCUGUAUUAUUUGACGUUAGCGACAGAAGAAGGCACCGGCUAACUCCGUGCCAGCAGCCGCGGUAAUACAGAGGGUGCAAGCGUUAAUCGGAUUUACUGGGCGUAAAGCGCGCGUAGGUGGCUAAUUAAGUCAAAUGUGAAAUCCCCCGAGCUUAACUUGGGAAUUGCAUUCGAUACUGGUUAGCUAGAGUAUGGGAGAGGAUGGUAGAAUUCCAGGUGUAGCGGUGAAAUGCGUAGAGAUCUGGAGGAAUACCGAUGGCGAAGGCAGCCAUCUGGCCUAAUACUGACACUGAGGUGCGAAAGCAUGGGGAGCAAACAGGAUUAGAUACCCUGGUAGCUACGAGU
rnacentral:rRNA from 1 species